rnacentral:rRNA from 1 species
GCAAUGGGAUGCGAAUCUCGAAAGCCUGUCCCAGUUCGGAUUGGAGGCUGAAACCCGCCUCCAUGAAGUUGGAUUCGCUAGUAAUCGCGCAUCAGCCAUGGCGCGGUGAAUACGUUCCCGGGCCUUGUACACACCGCCCGUCAAGCCAUGGGAGCCGGGGGUGCCUGAAGUUCGUGACCGCAAGGAGCGACCUAGGGCAAAACUGGUGACUGGGGCUAAGUCGUAACAAGGUACC